UUAACCUAACAAGCUUACAUUUCAUCCGAGGCUAAGAAAUACCAAAAGUACGGCUGAACAUAUAAAUACGGCAGAUGACAGUAUCCAAAACAAUUUUAUCUUUGAAUUGUUAAACAUGUAAAAAGCUUGAAGUGUUCACCUGCAUCACACAUGACAUUGUCAUUCUGCAAAUGUUGUUAAAAAGAACAAGUUAUUAAACGGCGUGACCAUUUUAUGUGCUAAACAACUUUUAAAGAUUUGGCUCAGACAGUCCUGUGACCGUAAAGAAGGUAGAAAUGAUCCCGAACAAGGAAGUACGCGAUCACAUCAAAAAAAUCCAAGA
rnacentral:lncRNA from 1 species